UCCAGACAAUUGUCUAACAGGAAGAGGAUCAUAAAAUCCUAAGAUUGGCUAAUCAACCUCCCUGUUCUACAGAUGAAGAAACUCACACUCCCAGGACAAGUGACCUCUCAGGACCACACAGAAAGAGAGUUGAUGUAAUAAUUGUACUCUGUGGCUACAUGGGUGUGAACCAGAACGAGGCAGAAGGGAUCUAUUUUUCUAUUUAGUGCCAAUGAGCCCCCAUGGAUCUAUGCAGGGGCAGGGUGCUUUGUGCAGAUGAAGGUCGUGCCAGACAUGGUAAUGAAGGCCCUGAACAGAGGGAGAACCAUCAGGGACUGCUGUGUGAGCAAAGCGUGGACUUUCAUCCUGAAAAAUGAGUGCAUCCGUAACAACAUCCUCAAACAUAGACGGCUCUGAUUAGCGCUCCAGGAGCCCUCUCUCUAAAAACAUCUGAAAAUGCCUCCUUCUUCCCGGGGCUCACACGAAUGGGCUGCUGCAUUACCUAAUAGCCACCCAUGGCUUCACGAGGAGGGAUGCUCACAGCCCCCUGCAGAGCAGCCGCCUUGUUCCAGCGCCACAGGGAAGCGUCUGCCUUGACUUCCACCCACGCAGUGUCCGCUUCCACACAAUCACCCUGAACGGCAAAGGCUAAACACUUUGGUAAUCCAAAACAGUAAACC